rfam:Exophiala dermatitidis NIH/TT8656 unplaced genomic scaffold supercont1.2, whole genome shotgun sequence.
GGCGGCGUGGCCCAAUGGCAAGGCGCUUGACUACGAAUCAAGAGAUUGCAGGUUCGACCCCUGCCGUCGUCA